UACGUAGGGUGCGAGCGUUAAUCGGAAUUACUGGGCGUAAAGCGUGCGCAGGCGGUUUAGUAAGACAGGCGUGAAAUCCCCGGGCUCAACCUGGGAACUGCGCUUGUGACUGCUAAGCUAGAGUACGGCAGAGGGGGGUGGAAUUCCACGUGUAGCAGUGAAAUGCGUAGAGAUGUGGAGGAACACCGAUGGCGAAGGCAGCCCCCUGGGCCGAUACUGACGCUCAUGCACGAAAGCGUGGGUAGCAAACAGGAUUAGAUACCCUGGUAGUCCACGCCCUAAACGAUGUCAACUAGGUGUUGGGAGGGUAAAACCUUUUAGUACCGGAGCUAACGCGUGAAGUUGACCGCCUGGGGAGUACGGCCGCAAGGUUAAAACUCAAAGGAAUUGACGGGGACCCGCACAAGCGGUGGAUGAUGUGGAUUAAUUCGAUGCAACGCGAAAAACCUUACCUACCCUUGACAUGUCCAGAAGCCCUUAGAGAUUUGAGUGUGCCCGAAAGGGAGCUGGAACACAGGUGCUGCAUGGCUGUCGUCAGCUCGUGUCGUGAGAUGUUGGGUUAAGUCCCGCAACGAGCGCAACCCUUGUCGUUAAUUGCCAUCAUUUAGUUGGGCACUUUAACGAGACUGCCGGUGACAAACCGGAGGAAGGUGGGGAUGACGUCAAGUCCUCAUGGCCCUUAUGGGUAGGGCUUCACACGUCAUACAAUGGUCGGUACAGAGGGUUGCCAAGCCGCGAGGUGGAGCCAAUCCCAGAAAGCCGAUCGUAGUCCGGAUUGCAGGCUGCAACUCGCCUGCAUGAAGUCGGAAUCGCUAGUAAUCGCGGAUCAGCAUGUCGCGGUGAAUACGUUCCCGGGUCU
rnacentral:rRNA from 1 species